CUCCUAAGAAAAGGGAAGUUCAAACACCAAACCCACUCUUAACUCCUUCAGCGACUCCUGGAGCCACUGGCCUUACUCCUAGAAUUGGCAUGACACCUUCAAGGGAUUCUUAUGGCAUGACCCCGAAAGGAACUCCUAUGAGGGAUGAGCUGUACAUUAAUGAGAAAUGGAUAUGCACAGUAAUGCUAAACUUGGGCAAUUCAAUUCAAAGAAAGAAUUGUUUAAUGAGGGAUGAGCUGCACAUUAAUGAGGAAAUGGAUAUGCACAAUAAUGCUAAACUUGGGCAACCCAAUUCAAAGAAAGAAUUGCUUUCUGGUUUGAAAAGCCUUCCUCAGCCUAAGAAUGAGUACCAGAUAG
rnacentral:lncRNA from 1 species